CAGUCGCCACGGUAAAACGGAGGAUCCAAGCGUUAUCCGGAAUCAUUGGGUUUAAAGGGUCCGUAGGCGGUUUAGUAAGUCAGUGGUGAAAGCCCAUCGCUCAACGGUGGAACGGCCAUUGAUACUGCUGAACUUGAGUUAUUAGGAAGUAACUAGAAUAUGUAGUGUAGCGGUGAAAUGCUUAGAGAUUACAUGGAAUACCAAUUGCGAAGGCAGGUUACUACUAAUUGAUUGACGCUGAUGGACGAAAGCGUGGGGAGCAAAUGGGAUUAGAUACCCGUGUAGUCCCUGUCUCUUAUAC
rnacentral:rRNA from 1 species